rnacentral:rRNA from 1 species
UACGGAGGAUCCAAGCGUUAUCCGGAUUCAUUGGGUUUAAAGGGUAGGUAGGUGGUCUCAUUUGUCUGGGGUGAAAGCCUCGAGCUUAACUCGAGAAGUGCCUCGGAAACGGUGAGACUAGAGUCUUGGAGAGGGUCGUGGAAUUCCCGGUGUAGCGGUGAAAUGCGUAGAUAUCUGGAGGAACACCGGUGGCGAAGGCGGCGUUCUGGACUGUUUCUGACACUGAAAAACGAAAGCCAGGGGAGCAAACGGG